GUUCAUGUGUUGUACUCUUUUUCCUGUCCUUGGUUUUCCAUUUUGUCAUAUUGGUUUUGGGGUUUUUCAGGAGAGGUUUUAAUGAGGCAACAUUAAGCAUGCAACGAACCUGUACCGGAUGUGUCGAUCAAGAGGGAGUGUUAUAAACCAAAUGAUGAUCGACCAUGGACCAGCCCGUAUUGCAGGUCCAAUCCGGGACAUGAUAAAGACAACCAAAGACUAUGUGUUUAUCUAGUAUAUAUUCCAUGUAUAUCUGUAACAUAGUGUUUAUCCUUAUCCUUGUUAGGAUAAACAUAACAUUAUAAUGGUCUAAUACCUUAUAUAUAUAUAUGGACCUUCUGAUUGACACUAAUAAUAACAGAAGUAUUUACCCAACAAUUCAUUUACAACCAAAAUAAUAAUAAGGGACCUAUUCAGGGUCGGUAGGAUAAUGGUGAUAGGUUCCUGCUAUCUCUCUCUUCGCCGUCCUUCCUUCUUUCAACAACACUUUCCCGAGCUGUGGUAAUAAGCUUACUAGAUGCUCUCAUUCUUCAUCUAUCUUUUUCGUCGAUUAGCGACCCGAACACGUAGUAGAUCAUCGGAAAUUUUUGUUUCUUUUGGUUCGCAACCUUCGCCAUGAUUGCAGGUAUUUUCUUAUUUUCAUUAUUCCCUUCUCAUUGAUACUUAGAUUAUUUGGAUUGGACCAUAUCUUUGCAAUGCUUUGGUGGCCUUGUUAGCUUCAUGCUUCCAUGUGUUCCAUACUUAGGCUAUUAAAAAAAAAGUUGAUGUAUAUAACUCAUCAUUAUCAGUGCGACAUAUAUGUUGGUGGGCUCGGUGGAUAAUUGUUUGUGGCGGAAUACAAGUGGCAGUGUAGGAUCGAUGUACAGUUUCCAAAUAGCGCAUGUGUGAACUUCACUUAGAUCGUGACUCUCUAUCUUAUCGUUUUCUUUUUGCUUCGUAAACCACUUUUGGUGAAUCUUGUUUGUCUUCAGUUAGUUUAUUUCUUCGUUGCCAUUCCUAAAUCUUCACAUCUGCGGCUCAUGAAUUCUUUCAUUUCCAAAAAUGUCUUGAUGCUGUAACUUGAAAAUUCAGCCUUAGUAAGUAUAGUACACCUAAAAACUUCAUACUCUUCUAGUUAUUUUAGGGGGAAAUAUAGUGAUAUGUUCCAUGUUCGAUCACAUUCAAAACGUGUUUAUUGAAGUUGUUGAAGUUUUAACAGUGAAUAUAGAGAAUUGAAGGGACCUAUGAAGUAAUUAGAGUUGUUUGGAAGAUGUUCUAUAUGGUAGUGAAUGUUGGAAGGAAGUUGAGUUUUGAAUUCAAGUUUUGAAGAUGUAUCAAGUCUUGGAGAAGUCAUCUUCAUUCAGUAUGUGGAUCCUGCUGAUGCUGCAGAGGCAAAACAUCACAUGGAAGGCUAUCUUCUUCUUGGUCGUGAUCUCAACUUGUAUAAUUUAAAUAUAUGCAGAAGCGACAGGUUCCAUGACAGAGAAGACGUUCACCUCCCCCUCGUCGUGGUGGUAGGACUCGAUCACGUAGCCGUGACUAUAAUUCUCCUCCCCCUUUAAAGACAUCAAUCUAGGUCUGUCUCGCUCACCAACGAAAAAUUGCUCAAGUGGAAGUCAUGGGAGGGUGACGAGCCGUAGCCCAAGAAGUGUAAGCGUGAGCCCAGGAAGAAACAGGAGCUACACGCCUGAACAAGCCAGGAGCCCGGUUGGCGGUUGCUAGGCAGAGCAGGAGAUUAAGCCUCGUGGAGAUCUUUAUCUGUGUUUAUGUUUUACGUUUUGAUUAAUGAAUGAACUUAAAAGACAUGACAAUGAGGUUGCAUGUGCCUUUUUGUCAUCUUAUCUCUUUAGAGAUCUCAUCUAGCCUUGUUGUUGUUAUGGUGAAAGAAAAUGGUCCUACUAGGAAAUGUGGGAUCUUUUUGACGUAUUGCAUCCAUUGGUAUUGAAUAGGCCUUUUUGCA